GGUCCCUAUCCGUCGUGGGCGUAGGAAAUUUGAGAGGAGCUGUCCUUAGUACGAGAGGACCGGGAUGGACGCACCGCUGGUGUACCAGUUGUCUUGCCAAAGGCAUCGCUGGGUAGCUAUGUGCGGACGGGAUAAGCGCUGAAAGCAUCUAAGUGCGAAGCCCCCCUCAAGAUGAGAUUUCCCAUUUCUUCAAGAAAGUAAGACACCUCAGAGACGAUGAGGUAGAUAGGCCGGGAGUGGAAGAGCCGUGAGGCUUGGAGCGGACCGGUACUAAUCAG
rnacentral:rRNA from 1 species